CUCCUUUAUCCAGCUUGGGUCUUUGAAGAGAUGGUAAAUAGGUAAUCAGCCAGACAAUGGGUCUCUCUCUGAGGAUGGAUCCAGAGGAAACUGCCAUCUCUGUCACACAAAGAUCACAGUAUUUUACAAGGGGUCAACUUGAGUAGCAAGCUGAAGGUGUGGGCAAUUUACACACAGAAAGAAGUGCAAUGGGGCUUUAUUAUUAAUUAUUAUUAUUAUUAAUUAUAUUUUUAACAAACACAUUGCUAACUCCAAAUUACCAAAAUGUACAAUCCAGUUAUUGCCUCUUCAGAAACGAUUAAUGGUGUCUGUAUUUUUAGCAAAGUACUGUAUUUUGUGGCUCUGUCAUUAUUGAAAAUUAUGGUAACAGUGCAAUCUCAGGCAUAUGAGCUAUUAACAUUUUAAUGACAUUUACAAAACAAUUAAUAAAUCAAAAUGAUAUAACAUAUUCCUAAAAACUGUGACACAAUUCUGUCAUAUUUUAUCCUAAAAUCAUUAAACACAUUUAGGGUAAUCAUCUGAAAAAGAAAAGAUGGAAACCUUUUUUUUUUUUUUUUUUUUUUACAAUUGAUAAACACAUCUAAUUCUUUUCUUAUGUGCAGCUUUGAUUAUACAACUAUGAUUCUCCUUUGUCACUUUGAUGAUCAAGUGCAUUGUUCUAAAAAUGUCUGUACUUUUUGUAU